AGUGAACGCUGGCGGUAGGCCUAACACAUGCAAGUCGAACGGCAGCACAGUAAGAGCUUGCUCUUACGGGUGGCGAGUGGCGGACGGGUGAGGAAUACAUCGGAAUCUACUUUUUCGUGGGGGAUAACGUAGGGAAACUUACGCUAAUACCGCAUACGACCUACGGGUGAAAGCAGGGGAUCUUCGGACCUUGCGCGAUUGAAUGAGCCGAUGUCGGAUUUGCUAGUUGGCGGGGUAAAGGCCCACCAAGGCGACGAUCCGUAGCUGGUCUGAGAGGAUGAUCAGCCACACUAGAACUUAGACACGGUCCAGACUCCUACGGGAGGCAGCAGUGGGGAAUAUUGGACAAUGGGCGCAAGCCUGAUCCAGCCAUACCGCGUGGGUGAAGAAGGCCUUCGGGUUGUAAAGCCCUUUUGUUGGGAAAGAAAAGCAGCAGGUUAAUACCCCGCUGUUCUGACGGUACCCAAAGAAUAAGCACCGGCUAACUUCGUG
rnacentral:rRNA from 1 species